rnacentral:rRNA from 1 species
AAAUUGAAGAGUUUGAUCAUGGCUCAGAUUGAACGCUGGCGGCAGGCCUAACACAUGCAAGUCGAACGGUAACAGGAAGCAGCUUGCUGCUUUGCUGACGAGUGGCGGACGGGUGAGUAAUGUCUGGGAAACUGCCUGAUGGAGGGGGAUAACUACUGGAAACGGUGGCUAAUACCGCAUAACGUCGCAAGACCAAAGAGGGGGACCUUCGGGCCUCUUGCCAUCAGAUGUGCCCAGAUGGGAUUAGCUUGUUGGUGAGGUAACGGCUCACCAAGGCGACGAUCCCUAGCUGGUCUGAGAGGAUGACCAGCCACACUGGAACUGAGACACGGUCCAGACUCCUACGGGAGGCAGCAGUGGGGAAUAUUGCACAAUGGGCGCAAGCCUGAUGCAGCCAUGCCGCGUGUAUGAAGAAGGCCUUCGGGUUGUAAAGUACUUUCAGCGGGGAGGAAGGUGUUGCGGUUAAUAACCGCAGCAAUUGACGUUACCCGCAGAAGAAGCACCGGCUAACU